rnacentral:lncRNA from 1 species
GAAAUCGAACUUCACAUUACAAGCCAGACGACAAAUAUAGCUCACACGAUUGCCAACAGAUGGCAUUUCGACAGAUUACAAACCAUUUACGUUACAAAAAAAAAAGUUUAUUUAAAAUAUAGUUUAAAAACGUUGUACUAAUUUUAUUUAAUAAUAAUUUUACAAAAAGAAAAUAGAAAAGUAAGAUAUUUCAAACAUUUAAUUAUCAGUUACGGAGAUUUCUAAUUUCAAGAUGGCAGCUUCCAUGAAGUUGGAUGAGAAAUGAAGAAAAACUGCCAGAAUUAUUAAUUUUUUACUAUAAUUGAAUUGAAAAAUAUAAAUUAAUGAAGGAGUUAUUUCAUGGAUAGAUGUGGGAUAUUUUGCUUAAAUCUGCCUAAUAUAAAAUGAAAUAAAUUGAAGAUAUUGAAGAAAAAUGUUAGAUAAAGAUAUUCCUCUCAAUAAUUUAAAUAUUCCUCCCAGUGAAAGUGGAACUAAUUCAAGAUGGGAUUGGAUAAAUUUGUUGCAUUUAUUAACACCUAUUGC